UACGUAGGGUGCGAGCGUUGUCCGGAAUUAUUGGGCGUAAAGGGCUCGUAGGCGGUUUGUCGCGUCGGGAGUGAAAACCUCGGGCUUAACUCGGGGCUUGCUUUCGAUACGGGCAGACUGGAGGUAUGCAGGGGAGAACGGAAUUCCUGGUGUAGCGGUGAAAUGCGCAGAUAUCAGGAGGAACACCGGUGGCGAAGGCGGUUCUCUGGGCAUGACCUGACGCUGAGGAGCGAAAGUGUGGGGAGCGAACCGG
rnacentral:rRNA from 1 species